rnacentral:rRNA from 1 species
GUGGGGAAUAUUGGACAAUGGGCGAAAGCCUGAUCCAGCCAUGCCGCGUGUGUGAAGAAGGUCUUCGGAUUGUAAAGCACUUUAAGUUGGGAGGAAGGGCAGUAAGUUAAUACCUUGCUGUUUUGACGUUACCGACAGAAUAAGCACCGGCUAACUUCGUGCCAGCAGCCGCGGUAAUACGAAGGGUGCAAGCGUUAAUCGGAAUUACUGGGCGUAAAGCGCGCGUAGGUGGUUUUGUAAGUUGGAGGUGAAAUCCCCGGGCUCAACCUGGGAACUGCCUCCAAAACUGCAUGACUAGAGUACGGUAGAGGGUAGUGGAAUUGCCUGUGUAGCGGUGAAAUGCGUAGAUAUAGGAAGGAACACCAGUGGCGAAGGCGACUACCUGGACUGAUACUGACACUGAGGUGCGAAAGCGUGGGGAGCAAACAGGAUUAGAUACCCCGGUAGUCC